rnacentral:rRNA from 1 species
UACGGAGGAUGCAAGCGUUAUCCGGAAUGAUUGGGCGUAAAGCGUCCGCAGGUGGCUGUGAAAGUCUGCUGUUAAAGAGUCAUGCUUAACAUGAUAAAGGCAGUGGAAACUACACGGCUAGAGUGCGUUCGGGGCAGAGGGAAUUCCUGGUGUAGCGGUGAAAUGCGUAGAGAUCAGGAAGAACACCGGUGGCGAAAGCGCUCUGCUAGGCCGCAACUGACACUGAGGGACGAAAGCUAGGGGAGCGAAUGGG